UACGAAGGGUGCAAGCGUUAAUCGGAAUUACUGGGCGUAAAGGGUGCGUAGGCGGUUCGUUAAGUCUGUCGUGAAAUCCCCGGGCUUAACCUGGGAAUUGCGUUGGAGACUGCAAGGCUGGAGUCUGGCAGAGGGGGGUAGAAUUCCACGUGUAGCAGUGAAAUGCGUAGAGAUGUGGAGGAACACCGAUGGCGAAGGCAGCCCCCUGGGUCAAGACUGACGCUCAUGCACGAAAGCGUGGGGAGCAAACAGG
rnacentral:rRNA from 1 species